rnacentral:rRNA from 1 species
AAUACGUUCCCGGGCCUUGUACACACCGCCCGUCACACCACGAAAGUGAAUUCGACCCAAAGUCACCUGGUUUACAGUUGCCUAAGGUCAGGUUCAUGAUUGGGGUG